rnacentral:rRNA from 1 species
UCUGGUAGCUAUAGCAAGGGAGAAACACCUCUUCCCAUUCCGAACAGAGAAGUUAAGCCCCUUAGCGCCGAUGGUACUGCAUGGGCAACUGUGUGGGAGAGUAGGUCGCUGCCAGGA